rnacentral:rRNA from 1 species
UACGUAGGGUGCAAGCGUUUAAUCGGAAUUACUGGGCGUAAAGCGUGCGCAGGCGGUUUUGUAAGUUUGUCGUGAAAGCCCCGGGCUCAACCUGGGAAUGGCAGUGGAAACUAGGGGACUGGAAUCUGGCAGAGGGGGGGUGGAAUGCCGCGUGUAGCAGUGAAAUGCGUAGAGAUGCGGCGGAACACCGAUGGCGAAGGCAGCCCCCUGGGCUGAGAUUGACGCUCAGGCACGAAAGCGUGGGGAGCAAACAGG